GCCUCGUUAUGAAAUUAAUAUGGCUGCGCCCAUGUAGUGAAAAAUAUGAACCUGCCAAAACUAACACAGUCAAUACAUGGUAUAUCUUCAAUAUUUUCACAUCAAAUAUGAAAUUGAGAAACAUUUGAAAGCACCACAGAAUGUACUUGAUGACAUACAUGCACCAUGUAGGUGUACACUUGCAUCUUGACUCUGAGUGCACAAAUGCAUUCUAAUUUCAAACAAGUAAUAGCUUUUCUAAAAAGCUAGCCGUCUCUUAGCUUCAGGAUGAAAGUAGAAAGUGUUAAAAUUCAUAAAGGCUAAUACAAUUUUUCCUAAUUUACUAAUGUUUUUUUGGGAUAAUUUACCAACACUGGAUUAGAAAGGGUGAUGCCUUAACUGUUUUUUUUAAUUAAAUAUGAAAAUAUUUAUAAAAGUAUAUUUUAAACAUGGCUCUGGGAUAAUUAUUGUUUUUGCCAGUAUUUUAACUCUCUGUAUAGCAGUAUAAUUGUAGAUUUAAUAUUAAUGCAUACAUAUUACACUCGUUAAUGUCUUACUUGAAAUACUACAGUUAUGCAUUAUAAAAGCUAAAAAAAAAAAAAAAGCAUAAAUGUAAAUUUCAGUGUGUAUCUAUAUAUAUGUCUGACAUGAUGACUCACCUAUCACACACAUAAUAAGAAACAAAGUGAAAUAUAGUUUUUUUAAAUACAAUGUAUUAGUAGAAAUUGACAGUAGAGUUCUAGUUAAUCUAUAUUAAUUAAUAUUGACAACACUACAUGUAGUUUUAUUAUGGAUUUUUGUAUAAUUUCAGGUUCUGAAAAAAUCACAGGGGAUGAUAAAUUUAGACAAGAAGGAUCGACCACCAACAUGCUACACUUACUGGAACUUGAAAAACCUGCAAUUCACAAGAACAAGCCAAAGACUAGUAUUACCGUACAAAGUGGUUGAGGGUAUGGUCCCAGCUAUCCAAACCUGACAAAUUAUUGGUAACAAGCAAUCUUUACCAAAAAGGAACAUCAAGCCGACACACGCUUUGCAGACUUUGAAAGUGAUAAUUUAUAAAUUUGGUUAAGGCUAUUGAAACAACAAACUGUGAAAACGAGCA
rnacentral:lncRNA from 1 species